UGGGGGCAUUUAGCCCAGAAAUGGGGGUCAGGGUAGACUUCCUGGAGUGGUGUGGAAGGCUAAGUGGGGGGUAAGGAAGGCAGGGAGGGCCUUCCAGGAAGAGCCCCUGCAUGACUAAAGCUGCAGAGGUGGAAACAGCUGGGUGUGGGGUCAUCUCUAGAGCUAAAGGACAGGAUGCCUGCCUGAGCUGUGGGGCUGUAUCUAAUGCCUCUCCUCCCGGGCCCAUUGGGCCUGUCUGGUCUGACCAGGCACCCUCUUCCUGUGGAUGUACUGGCCCAGCUUCAACUCAGCCAUAUCCUACCAUGGGGACAGCCAGCACCGAGCCGCCAUCAACACCUACUGCUCCUUGGCAGCCUGCGUGCUUACCUCGGUGGCAAUAUCCAGUGCCCUGCACAAGAAGGGCAAGCUGGACAUGGUGCACAUCCAGAAUGCCACGCUCGCAGGAGGGGUGGCCGUGGGUACCGCUGCUGAGAUGAUGCUCAUGCCUUACGGUGCCCUCAUCAUCGGCUUCGUCUGCGGCAUCAUCUCCACCCUGGGUUUUGUAUACCUGACCGUAAGUGCCCCAGGCAAGGGGCUGGGGGCUAGAGAAUG
rnacentral:lncRNA from 1 species